rnacentral:rRNA from 1 species
AGAGCGAACGCUGGCGGCAGGCUUAACACAUGCAAGUCGAGCGGGCGUAGCAAUACGUCAGCGGCAGACGGGUGAGUAACGCGUGGGAACGUACCUUUUGGUUCGGAACAACCCAGGGAAACUUGGGCUAAUACCGGAUAAGCCCUUACGGGGAAAGAUUUAUCGCCGAAAGAUCGGCCCGCGUCUGAUUAGCUAGUUGGUGAGGUAAUGGCUCACCAAGGCGACGAUCAGUAGCUGGUCUGAGAGGAUGAUCAGCCACAUUGGGACUGAGACACGGCCCAAACUCCUACGGGAGGCAGCAGUGGGGAAUAUUGGACAAUGGGCGCAAGCCUGAUCCAGCCAUGCCGCGUGAGUGAUGAAGGCCCGUAGGGUUGUAAAGCUCUUUUGUGCGGGAAGAUAAUGACGGUACCGCAAGAAUAAGCCCCGGCUAACUUCGCGCCAGCAGCCGC